GCUUGUGUGAUGGACUGGACAACAGCUCCAGAUGUGUAAAUCAUUCAAUCUUCAAACAGGCUGGAGUUGGAAACUACAGCCUUGUUUAUGAGAAGCCUUGUCUUCCUACAGUCUUAUCCCUUGUAAAAAGACGCACCUCCACGUUUUGGGUCGCCAUGACAUCUUGG